CUCAGUGCCCCAGGUGCUGCAGGCAGUGCCGUGCCCUUCCACCAUCUGGCAGAAGAACGGCCUGGGAGCCACCUCCUGCACAGCACCUCCACCCCUGCAUGCCCACCCUCCUCUCCCCUAAUGAGAACAUCUGCCCCACAGCAGGCAACGCUUGCAAGAGGCAUCCAAGCCAUGUGGGAAGGGCAGACCCUUAGGCAAUGCAACAUCUCUUCACUGCAUGCUGUGCCCAUGGCUGCCACAGAAAAGGGUGUUUUUUACUGCAAAACCUUCUGACAAACCUUUACUGCAGAUUUUCCAAAGCAGGGCUAACCCAGACCAGCCCUGCAGAGUUUGCAACAGCAGAGAAGAUCACAGGACAAGGAGAGUUUGCAACAGAAUGGCUAAGACCAUCUCUAAUUUAAGCUGACAGAAAAGCAAAUUGAGAAAAAGAUAUAGUCAACUAUUUGAAGCUUGGCCCUUCUUAAUCAUCCACAGAAAGCAAGAGCUCAGUGUUGCCAUCUCAUUGCACAGGUAUUUUCAAGAAAGACUGGCUCAUAUUCAGCAUGCAGAAUACAGAAUAAAAAUGAAGAAAGGCAAGACAACUCAGCAAGAUAAAGAACAUCAGCACCAGGGAUGCUCCACGUCGAGCCUGGCAAACAUCUCCAGGUGUGCUCCUCACCAGCAAUCAGUGACUACCAGGCCUGGGAGAUGGAACCUUUGAUGGGGCAGGUGUCAAACGUGAAGCAGAGCUCAGGGCUGAUUCAGAGAGAAAAGUCCACAGCCAGAACAGAAACGGGGCUUCGUUCUUUCUCACCGCCUGUGAACAUCUGACACAUGCUCAGACAUGACUUCAGUCUGCAAAAGAGGAGCAAUCUGUUGCUGUGGCUGAGAGCCAGCCCACUUCCUCCUCGCUAUCUCCGUGCAGAACAGACAGACUCCACCGUGGAUGCCGUGUGGUGCCAUCCCCCUUUGGCAGCCAAGCUAACCUGCCUCUGAACCAAACCCUUCUGAAGAGCUGCUCAACUUUUGGUGCUCUCAGGUGGUCAGGAACCUUCUCUCAGUCUCCACUCUGAAGAAAUCUGGAUUUACAGACCCCAGAGCAAGGAGGAGGAACAGCUGUUCCCAGUAUUCCCCAGCUGGGACACCCCAGUUCUGGCACAUUCCUAUGGGGAAGAAGAACCACCAGACUCCAAUGUCCUAAGGGCAACAUGACUUUGUCUCUCCCCUCCUCAAACAUAUUCACUGAGGUUCCAGAGAAACACCAACUAAUUUGA